GAUGAACGCUGGCGGCGUGCUUAACACAUGCAAGUCGAACGGAAAGGCUCCUGCUUGCAGGGGUACUCGAGUGGCGAACGGGUGAGUAACACGUGGGUGAUCUGCCCUGCACUUCGGGAUAAGCCUGGGAAACUGGGGCUAAUACCGGAUAGGACCACAUUUUGGAUGGUGUGGUGGAGAGUUUUUCGGUGUGGGAUGAGCUCGCGGCCUAUCAGCUUGUUGGUGGGGUAAUGGCAUACCAAGCCGUCGACGGGUAGCCGGCAUGGGAGGGUGGACGGCGACAAUGGGACUGAGGGACGGACCAGACGGGUACGGGAGGCAGCAGUGGGGAAUAUUGCACAAUGGGGGCAAGCCUGAUGCAGCGGCGCCGGGUGGGGGAUGACGGCCUUCGGGUUGUGAACUCCUGUCGCUGGAGACGAAGCGGUAGUGACGGUACCUGGAGAAGAAGCACCGGCUAACUACGUG
rnacentral:rRNA from 1 species